ACAUAGUACUGUAAGGGGAAAAAAACACGUCCUUACUAAUCUCGGAACAUAUUUUAUUUCACACAAAAUCAUUACAAAUUUCACUGCCUCAGCUUAAGACAAUAUGAAUCAUGACAGACAGAUGAGAGCUGUUCAGGUACAAAAGAAAGGAAGGCUAGAUUAAAAGAGUCUUAUUUUUGUAGUUUGGCCAGCAUUUCUAAGGAUUGAGAUAACAUUGUAACCACUAAAUGAGGUCUGGAAAAAAUGUGACAUCUCUACAACAAAGUCCAGUGGGCAGGAAAUCAGAGCCAUGAGAUCAAACAACCUGUCUGAGUAUCUGACUGUUGAACUGAGUCAUGUCACCAUAUUCCUGGAACUCAGCUGUUGACUUAUGUCAUCACUCAUCUGUAACUCACUGAUAUGGCAGUCUUCACCAAUGCUGCGGGCAAAGAAAGGCACAGAGGGAAACAGUCGCAGGGCCUCCUUGAUAGUACACUCCAGUUUCUCCACCAGAAUCUCAGCCUGUUCGUUCAUCACUUCCAAGAAGUCCGUCAGGAUGGAGAAGUGGAAGGUGGGAGUCAGCAUCUUUCUCCGCUGACGCCACUUAGGCCCGGUGCUGAUCAAAAGAAGAAGACAUCAAAGAAAGACAAGACCCAUGUUUAUACUCUUGUAUAAAUCUUAAAUUAAGGUCAAGAUUAUCCCUUCAAUGUUUCUGCAACACUUUGGGUCAUAAUAAAGUGGAAAACAUGACAUUUGCUGUGGACAUUCAUGGUCACAAGAGAAUGAAUGUAAUAAUGUUUUUCAUGACCCCCUGACCUUUACCAUAGCUCCACAAUCAGUCUAGCAUUUCCAUCGGAAUAAUAAAAUCGGAUAAAAA